GAAACUGCAGUCCAGGAGCUGUCGCCUACCGCAACCAGCCUAUCCGAAGGUAGUUGCUAAUGGUCAGCAUGGCUACUAGAUUCCGUAGGAGUCAUUUCUUGAAGCCAAGAACAUAAUGCCUUCAAUACUCUGCUAAGAGCCUAGGAGCUUCUUCACAUCCGCUUAAUUUAUUGCAAUAGUGACCUUUUGGGGUUGGGACCUCAUCAUCCCAUUAGGAUCACUGUAAGUGCGUACAUAAGGGAAGAAGUGCAACUCCCAUUUAGGAGUUGUGAUUGGAUUUGACUGUUUGAGUACACAUGGAAGUUCAAAAACCUUCGAAUGAUGCAAUGAAGCACCUUCCUUUA